GAUGAAGAACGUAGCGAAAUGCGAUAAGUAGUGUGAAUUGCAGAAUUCAGUGAAUCAUCGAAUCUUUGAACGCACAUUGCGCCCCUUGGUAUCCCGAGGGGCAUGCCUGUUCGAGCGUCAUUUCACCACUCAAGCCUGGCUUGGUGUUGGGCGACGUCCUCUUUGGGGACGCGCCUCGAAACGCUCGGCGGCGUGGCACCGGCUUUAAGCGUAGCAGAAUCUUUCGCUUUGGAAGUCGGGGCCCCGUCUGCCGGAAGACCUGCUCGCAAGGUUGACCUCGGAUCAGGCAGGGAUACCCGCUGAACUUAAGCAUAUCAAUAAGGGAGGA
rnacentral:misc_RNA from 1 species